AUGAAAACCAAAGGGAGGAAAAAAAAUAACCAGGGAAAGAGAAACUGGCCCCGAGAGGCAGAACACGCCCGAUGGAAAGAGCACGACAGAUUAGAAGGAACGUGCAUUGCAUGCUCAGAGGCUCUUCUUUUCUGGAGGGUUUCCUCCCUCCCUCCUUCUUCCUUCUGGAACACAACGCAAAUAAAGAGGAAAACCCACGAAGUGAAGCAGAGGCACCCGCUGCCGCCCCGAUGCUCUCAAGGCACGGGGGGGGGCUUCCUCCGCGGCAAGAGGGGGGGAGUUCCGCCGGCUCCUGCCUCAGGCUGCCUGGGUUCGUGGGGCGGAUCAGGCUUUUCCAGAGGGGAGCCCUGCCAGCUAAAGGAAGGUCCCGUGCCCACACACACACAAACACACCUCACCUUCCAGGGGUGUCCUGUCGGGACCCAUGGCCCCCCCAGCCAUCCAGCUCUCCCGCCGGGUUAUGCUGCUGCUGCUGCUGCUGCUGCUCCAGCUGCUGCGCCCAACCUGGCCGGGCUGCUGAUCCCGCAGAGGCGCUGCCAUGGAAAUCAGAGACGCCCCUGGAUUGGCCGAUGUCUCGCCGCGCCCCAUUGGCCGAGCUCGGCUGAUGGACAGGGGCGGAGGGCGGGGAGGAGUUCCCCCCUCCCGUUUUUGGGAAGUUCCCCCCUCCGCCCUUGCACGCUCCAAACCCCCAGCCAGCCCCCCCCACGUGGUGCAGCCGGAGGAGGGAGGGAGGGGCGCACAUCUGGAGGUGUUGCACAGCUGGCCGGCCAGGGGAGAAGCAGCUGCAGGGAGGGAACAUCUGUCAGGAGGAGGCCGAUGGGUUGCAAUCAGGCCAUCAUCCUCCCUGCUGCUUUGUUAACUAUUAUUCUUACCAUUCCUCCUCUUAUUGCCAUUAUCCUUAUAAUUUGCUUUUCUCAGUCCUCUUCCCUCUGUGCCACCCAGUCGCUUCCAGUCCUCAGGAGGCCAACUAAAGGCAGGCUAAGUUUCCAAACAAUCCUUGUAACGUAA
rnacentral:lncRNA from 1 species